AUUGAACGCUGGCGGCAGGCCUAACACAUGCAAGUCGAACGGUAACAGGAAACAGCUUGCUGUUUCGCUGACGAGUGGCGGACGGGUGAGUAAUGUCUGGGAAACUGCCUGAUGGAGGGGGAUAACUACUGGAAACGGUAGCUAAUACCGCAUAACGUCGCAAGACCAAAGAGGGGGACCCUCGGGCCUCUUGCCAUCGGAUGUGCCCAGAUGGGAUUAGCUUGUUGGUGGGGUAACGGCUCACCAAGGCGACGAUCCCUAGCUGAUCUGAGAGGAUGACCAGCCACACUGGAACUGAGACACGGUCCAGACUCCUACGGGAGGCAGCAGUGGGGAAUAUUGCACAAUGGGCGCAAGCCUGAUGCAGCCAUGCCGCGUGUAUGAAGAAGGCCUUCGGGUUGUAAAGUACUUUCAGCGGGGAGGAAGGGAGUAAAGUUAAUACCUUUGCUCAUUGACGUUACCCGCAGAAGAAGCACCGGCUAACUCCGUG
rnacentral:rRNA from 1 species